CCCAGGGUCUUUCCUGAGUGUGAGCUGGGCCAGGCACUGCAGGCUGGGCGCUGGGAUGUUGGGGGAGGAAGGGGUCUGGCAGCCUUUCCCAAGGGGAUGGCCACACGUAUCCCCACCAGACCCAGUGGAAGGAUCAGGGCCUCUGGGUCAGUUGGUGGUGACUUGUAGGCUUGUGUUCAGUUUCUGAAUCAGCAUGAGAACCUUCUGGAGCAAUGCCCAACCUCUCCUGUUGCCUGGCUGGGCUGCCCUGGUGAGCGCUGACCACGGCUUCUCUUCCAGAUUUUCCUGACUGACCCGCUAGGCAAGCUCUUGCACAUCCUGGAGAUGGACCACUUCGCCCUGGUGGUUCACGAGCAGAUCCAGUACAACAACAACGGGAAGUCCAGUAAGAGGCAAGCAGUGUUCGGGGUGGUCACUGCCAUUGACCUGCUGAAGUUUGUGGCUGCCCGGGAGCGGGACGAGAAGACCAAGUCAGGAAGUGUCCUGGAUCCCUGAGCUGCGGGGGCAGCGGCCCAGCCCUGACGCCCACCCACUGUCGGCUCGGGGUCCAGGCUCUCUUGCUUUUCGUCAACACUAAACAAACAGAUGUGCGAUUUCUCCCCACCUGACGCUGGGCAUCGCUCUAGCGUGACAGGUAGCGAGGAGCCGGGGCCAGCUCAAAUGUUAGUCUCCCUUUAGUAACAUCUGGCUACCUGAAUGAAUGUAUUUAUGGUU